AUUGAACGCUGGCGGCAUGCCUUACACAUGCAAGUCGAACGGUAACGGGUCCUUCGGGAUGCUGACGAGUGGCGAACGGGUGAGUAAUACAUCGGAACGUGCCUAGUAGUGGGGGAUAACUACUCGAAAGAGUGGCUAAUACCGCAUGAGAUCUACGGAUGAAAGCAGGGGAUCGCAAGACCUUGUGCUACUAGAGCGGCCGAUGGCAGAUUAGGUAGUUGGUGGGAUAAAAGCUUACCGAGCCGACGAUCUGUAGCUGGUCUGAGAGGACGAUCAGCCACACUGGGACUGAGACACGGCCCAGACUCCUACGGGAGGCAGCAGUGGGGAAUUUUGGACAAUGGGCGAAAGCCUGAUCCAGCAAUGCCGCGUGCAGGAUGAAGGCCUUCGGGUUGUAAACUGCUUUUGUACGGAACGAAAAGCCCCGGGUUAAUACCCUGGGGUCAUGACGGUACCGUAAGAAUAAGCACCGGCUAACUACGUGCCAGCCGCCGCGGUAA
rnacentral:rRNA from 1 species